rnacentral:rRNA from 1 species
CGUAGGGGGCGAGCGUUGUCCGGAAUCAUUGGGCGUAAAGCGCGUGUAGGCGGCUCAAUAAGUCUGGUGUGAAAACUGGAGGCUCAACCUCCAGCUGUCAUUGGAUACUGUUGGGCUAGAGUCCGGAAGAGGAGAGUGGAAUUCCUGGUGUAGCGGUGGAAUGCGCAGAUAUCAGGAGGAACACCAAUGGCGAAGGCAGCUCUCUGGUACGUGACUGACGCUGAGACGCGAAAGCGUGGGGAGCGAACAGGAUUAGAUACCCUGGUAGUCCACGCCGUAAACGAUGGAUGCUAGGUGUGGGUGGUGUCGACUCCAUCCGUGCCGCAGCUAACGCAUUAAGCAUCCCGCCUGGGGAGUACGGCCGCAAGGCUA